CAUCCAGAGUUUAAAAAGAGCCUCAGCAUCCUCCGCACAACCACAACUACAGGCGCUAAGGCAGACGCUAACACCGACGCUAACACCGACGCUAACACCGACGCUAACACCGACGCAGCUCAACCCUCCACAGAAAACUCCAAACAUGAAGACCAGUCUGCUCCUCUCUCUGGCCUUAACUAUCGCCCUGUCCAUCACCUCAGUCGUGGCCUUGUUUUGUGUGACCUGCACAAAUCCAAACGACUCAAACUGUGGCUCCACGACUCAGUUCAGCUGCAGCAGCGGAGAGACCCAGUGUGUGUCGGCCACCGUCCUCACCACCUCCAGCGGCGGCACGUCCACCCAAAAGGUCAAAGGUUGUGCCGUGUCCAGCUUCUGUCCGUCCGCCGGUACCCGGGACUUUUCUCUGAACGUCAGUACCUCCAGCGUUUUGGCCAAAGCCGUCUGCUGCUCCACCGACAAUUGCAACUCUGCCGACGCGCCCGCUCCGACCGCCCCGCCCGCCGGGACGCUGCAGUGCUACAGCUGUAACCCUCUGACCAGCACCUGCUCCACUGGACUGACCUGUAACACUCUGGAGACACGCUGCUUCACCUCCUCAGUGAUUCCGACGGGCAGUAGCACAGCUGUCCCGGGUCAUGGCUGUGCUUCAGAGAACAUUUGUGCGGCGGCGGCCGCUCUCUCCUCGUUGCCGCUGUUCACCAACAUUGGUUCCGUCCAAGGGACCCCCACCUGCUGCAGCACCAACAACUGCAACCCCCUGCCCACCACCACAGCGCCCCCUACCACGACCACAACUACAACCACCACAACUACCACCACAACCACCACCACAACCACCCCCACCACCACCAGUACGACUGUCGCAGCGAAUACGACCACAUCAGGCGCCUCGUCCGUCACGUCUCUACUUCUGCUGCAGCUCCUCGCGCUCGUCCUCGCGUUCCUCUGCUAAAGACUCACAUUUGAAGAUCAAUUUGACUCUAAAUGUUCAUGUUGUGACGUCUGUGCUGUAUUUCCAAAACAUUCUAAUAUCAGGAGUUUCUCUUUAAAAUGGCCGCUCACGUCGACCAGUGAGGCUGAGGCUGAGGUGGACCAGGUUCUGAAGCACUUUUUUUCAAAUUCAAAUGUAUUUAUUUAUAAUUUUUUAUCAUUUUAUUAUUUGUUGAAUAAAAGUAUUGGAGUCAAAGAAAAUGCUACAAGCUACAAGUUCUAUAAUGUGAGUAAUUAAAACAUCAAACUCACCAAACAGCAGUUUAAUGAUCUGCACAUCCAGUGACUUUCAGUGAGAUGAUCUUUAUUUAUGCAUGUAUAAUUUGAUAAUGAAAUUAAAUAAUAUUAAAGCCUGUUUAAUAAAAACAUGAAAGAUCCAA
ensembl:lncRNA